AUGUGCCGAAAUCUGACUUCUAUCUCCUCCAAAUUCUGGUGGGGUGCAGCGAAUGGUGAAAGGAAAGUGCAUUGGAUAGCAUGGGAUAAAAUGUGUACAACUAAGCAUGAUGGUGGUCUGGGAUUCAGAGAUCCGUAGGCCUUCAACCAAGCAUUGCUAGCUAAACAAGCCUGGAGGAUCUUACAGGCACCGUCAUCAUUAUGUGCAAGGGUGCUCAAAGCUAGGUACUUCAAAGAUGAAAGCAUCAUGACCACGACGUGCCCGUCCGGAGCAUCUUACACUUUUAGGAGCAUAUUACAUGGGCGUGAUCUGCUGCGUGAAGGUACCAUUUGGCAUAUAGGAGAUGACCAAGAGAGGGAAGCAUGA
rnacentral:rRNA from 1 species